rnacentral:lncRNA from 1 species
UUUGAGGAUUGCACGUUCGAGUGGCUGUACUGGUCACAAGCCAGGAAACCAUACUCUCGGGAGACACUAGACUACAUAAGAUCACUAAACGCCGAGGAAGAUAUCAACCUCCUGAAGUUCCAUGGAUGGAAAAUGCCGUUGAAAACUGCUAGAACACUCAGAAUCUCAACGAUGCUUCUCAAGAAAGGAGCAGAGAGAGGAUUGACAGCGUUUGAGAUUGGGAACAUGAUGUGCAGAGAGACUCUGAGCAAGAAAUCUCUAGUGGAGGAGAUGGUAGAGGAAGCUCAAGAAGCUGUGCUUCCCGGGACGAGCGAGGCUGCAUUCCUCGAAGCAUUGUCUGAUGUGAUGGAUUACCAUCUUGAUGAGGUGGUUCGCUCUCAGGAACACUAGAAUUGGUUCUUGUAUGAAUCGUUACUUGGAACUACGGUACAUAAACUCUAUAUAAUAAUAAUACCUGUUGGCUUUUGUUUAUCAACUCCUUUUUUAAAAUUUCUGUCAUCCUUUGGACAUGUGCAAAGUUGUGUUGUUAAUUUCUCUGUGACAUACUUCGUGGUAAUGACAAUUUCAGUAUUACAGUAGAUUUCUUCUUUUAGUUAUUUUUUUUUUGAACAGCUUCAGUUAGAGAACAAUGCAUGUCUAUGUGAUUAUACGGUCAUCAGAAACGCAAGUUGACGAGAUAAUCAGAAAGCACAAAGGUGGCAUCAAUUUGCAUUUAAGAGUAGUAGUUCACAGAGUUUCUUCUUUAGUCCACAGAGCAUCGUUUUAUUGCUAUUCAUGAAAAUAAAAAUUCAGGAUUUGGAUUAACCGAAGUUACAAUAACCUUGUCACUUGGUUAUGCAAUGGAAGAGUUUAGUAAGGAUUGGUCCCAUACCUCGGCUCGUGUAAAAAAAUGAAAAUGGAGGUGCGGGGAAUCGAACCCCGUGCCUCUCGCAUGCGAAGCGAGCGCUCUACCAUAUGAGCUACACCCCCUUGAUGUUUGUAUGGUCUCUGUAGUUAUUAAGUUUUUAUAUUGUAUAGCGUUAAUCAAGGUUCUCAUUUGAAUAUUUACAGGGUUUUUAGUCUUUCCUAAACAUGUCUCCAUUCAAUUUUCCAACAUUUGUUUUUUAGCUAAAUCCAAGUUAUCUCUAGUGGUUAAAGAUAUGGUUAGCUCUGCUUCUGAUGGGUUGAGAAGUGGGAAUCCUCCUGUGAGGUCAAGAGAGGGAACAGGAGGAGCUUACUUCAUGCAGGGUUCGUCUGGGAACAAGUAUGUUGGUGUGUUUAAGCCUAUAGAUGAGGAGCCGACAGCUGAAAACAAUCCGCACGGGUUACCGCUUUCGCCAAACGGAGAAGGUUUGAAGAAAGGAACAAAGGUUGGAGAAGGUGCGUUUAGGGAAGUUGCUGCUUACUUGUUGGAUCAUCCCAAAAGUGGUGAAGAGAGAGGUUUUGCUGGUGUGCCUCCCACGACUAUGGUUGAAUGUUUGCAUCCUGGCUUUAACCAUCCCAAAGGAGUUAAGACCAAGAUUGGGUCGCUUCAGAUGUUUACUGAGAAUGAUGGAAGUUGUGAAGAUAUGGGUCCAGCUUCGUUUCCUGUGGAGGAAGUUCACAAGAUCUCUGUGCUGGAUAUUAGACUGGCUAACGCUGAUAGACAUGGUGGUAACAUUUUGAUGAGCAAGGACAAGGAAGGGAAGAUUGUUCUGGUUCCCAUUGAUCAUGGUUACUGCUUGCCUGAAAGCGUAAGCUCUAUGCUCUCUUCUUAUAUUGUUUUUGUUUUGUUUAUCUUAUUGUCUGAAACGGAUUUUUGUUUGUGCAACAGUUUGAGGAUUGCACGUUCGAGUGGCUGUACUGGUCACAAGCCAGGAAACCAUACUCUCGGGAGACACUAGACUACAUAAGAUCACUAGACGCCGAGGAAGAUAUCAACCUCCUGAAGUUCCAUGGAUGGAAAAUGCCGUCGAAAACUGCUAGAACACUCAGAAUCUCAACGAUGCUUCUGAAGAAAGGAGCAGAGAGAGGAUUGACAGCGUUUGAGAUUGGGAACAUGAUGUGCAGAGAGACUCUGAGCAAGAAAUCUCUAGUGGAGGAGAUGGUAGAGGAAGCUCAAGAAGCUGUGCUUCCCGGGACGAGCGAGGCUGCAUUCCUCGAAGCAUUGUCUGAUGUGAUGGAUUACCAUC